AUACGGAGGGGGCUAGCGUUGUUCGGAAUUACUGGGCGUAAAGCGCACGUAGGCGGACUGAUCAGUUGGGGGUGAAAUCCCAGGGCUCAACCCUGGAACUGCCUCCAAUACUGUCAGUCUUGAGAUCGGAAGAGGUGAGUGGAAUUCCUAGUGUAGAGGUGAAAUUCGUAGAUAUUAGGAGGAACACCAGUGGCGAAGGCGGCUCACUGGUCCGAUACUGACGCUGAGGUGCGAAAGCGUGGGGAGCAAACAGGAUUAGAAACCCCAGUAGUCC
rnacentral:rRNA from 1 species